UGGGGAAUAUUGGACAAUGGGCGAAAGCCUGAUCCAGCCAUGCCGCGUGUGUGAAGAAGGUCUUUGGAUUGUAAAGCCCUUUAAGUUGGGAGGAAGGGCAGUAAGCGAAUACCUUGCUGUUUUGACGUUACCGACAGAAUAAGCACCGGCUAACUCUGUGCCAGCAGCCGCGGUAAUACAGAGGGUGCAAGCGUUAAUCGGAAUUACUGGGCGUAAAGCGCGCGUAGGUGGUUCGUUAAGUUGAAUGUGAAAGCCCCGGGCUCAACCUGGGAACUGCAUGCAAAACUGGCGAGCUAGAGUAGGGGAGAGGGUGGUGGAAUUUCCGGUGUAGCGGGGAAAUGCGUGGAUAUAGGAAGGAACACCAGUGGCGAAGGCGACCACCUGGGCUCAUACUGACACUGAGGUGCGAAAGCGUGGGGAGCAAACAGG
rnacentral:rRNA from 1 species